AUUGCUAGCUCCUCCAUAAUGAUUUAUUAAAAUGUGGCAAAAGAGAUAGAACAAUAUUAAUCAUGCUGUUAGCAGUUUCAUAUAAAUGAUUAAAAGAACACUCUAAGCACCAACACAACUGCACCUUAAUAUAGGAGUUUUGAUGCUGUCUGGCAAUCCAGUUUCUGGGAAAUGGCAAUGUUUACAUUUUGCCUGAAACAAGCAUUUAGUGGCAGUCAGGUUAAAACCUCUAAAGGCACUUACUCCUCAUAG